UUGUCCGAAUGAACAGACGGUUAGAAGCAGUGCAAAACCCAUAUGAUUGCAGACAUCCACGGCGUAGAUAAUUAUCACACCAAUAGAUGGUCCACGCGGGGCACCAGCUAAUGCAUUUAAGGGGAGCUGAUCUCUGUGAAGAAGCCAGCAAAAGAAACCCCCACAUCCAAUCCAUUAUCAACAAAAGCUAAUAAGGUUGAGAAUUUAAUGACACUCAAACAGGCAUGCUCCUCGGAAUACCAAGGAGCGCAAGGUGCGUUCAAAGAUUCGAUGAUUCACUGAAUUCUGCAAUUCACAUUACUUAUCGCAUUUCGCUGCGUUCUUCAUCGAUGCGAGAGCCAAGAGAUCCGUUGCUGAAAGUUGUAUAAGGUUUAUAGGCACAAGGCCCAAUGAUACAUUCUGUUACAUUCUAUAGGGGUAUAUGAAAAACAUAGGCCUGGACAUGCAAAGAAAGCUGGCUCACAGAGCGCAGCAAUCUUCCCGACCGAGUUGCCUCUGAAAGUCUAUCCAGGUCUACAAGAGGUGCACAGGUGGAGAGAUGAGGAUGGUGGGUGUGCACAUGCCCCCGAGAGGGCCAGCAACAACCACACCAAGUUCAUUCAAUAAUGAUCCUUCC
rnacentral:misc_RNA from 1 species